UAAUACUAGAUGUGAUGUUAUUGUAAGCAUUUAGUUAAUAGUCUAGUUUGUAUAACAAGAAAAUACUUCUGAGUAGGGAUCAACCCCGCCUCUAGGGGUGCACCGGAACCAAUUUUUUCACGUAACGCAUCUGGAAAAAAGUCGCACCGGAACCGGUUUAGUAAGCCAAAAAUAGUCAUACGUUACUUUGUCUGCUGCCAGACACUUCAUGUCAUCAAGGAGAGAACUUGCAAAUGUUAGUAGAAUAAAAAGAUUGACAUACGUUAAAGGACAAUGGCAAUAAAUUUUUUUAUUCUCGAUAUCUAUUAAACAUACCUACGGAAUACUUAAUUACGUAUUUUCACUUGUCUAUCGCGUUUAGUUGUUCAGAAAUAUCAUAAAACUUUCUAGUCGUCCGCCAUCUUGAAAAAAACCUGGUAUGCUAAUUUAUGUGAGAAUAAAUUUGUGACGUCAAGAGCAGGGGAAACAAAUAUUGUCAAUAUAAAAUAGUAUGCGUGCGAACACAUUCUACGAAGAUUUUGACCAAAAAGUGCGGAUGAACUCCAAAUUUUUUUGUAUAACUGCGUAAAAAUUUAGCGCUACUACUCUACUGUGUGUUUCAGCUGUGUUUUUGAAAUAAACGCGUUGAUUUCGGCGGUAAAAGCUCUUAGAUUAUAAAUGAUUGGCCAUAUGCAUAGUCUGGUACUAUGUCAAUAUGACAAUAUGCUCGCCUACUUUGUGGACUUUUAUAUUUACUGUUCUCGGUGAUCACGGCUAUGACCACAUCAACAGGAACAAUAUCGCAUAAAUAAAUACUAUAAAAUGACUGAGAAUAUGUUUUGAUUCUUUGCAAUUCGCGUGCAAAAAUCGUUUUGAUGUUCUUGUGAUAUAAAUAAUGAGAACAAAUUUGUUUAUAAACUUAAUUUUAAUAAAGCAUUAAUAUAUA